UACGUAGGCAGCAAGCGUUGUUCGGAGUUACUGGGCGUAAAGGGUGCGUAGGCGGCUUCUUAAGUCUGGUGUGAAAUCUCCCGGCUCAACUGGGAGGGUGCGCCGGAUACUGAGGGGCUAGAGUGUGGGAGAGGAAAGUGGAAUUCCACGUGUAGCAGUGAAAUGCGUAGAGAUGUGGAGGAACACCGAUGGCGAAGGCAGCCCCCUGGGCCAAAACUGACGCUCAGGCACGAAAGCGUGGGGAGCAAACAGG
rnacentral:rRNA from 1 species